GGGUUGUGAGGUUAAGCGACUAAGCGUACACGGUGGAUGCCUAGGCAAUCAGAGGCGAUGAAGGACGUGCUAAUCUGCGAUAAGCGUCGGUAAGGUGAUAUGAACCGUUAUAACCGACGAUUUCCGAAUGGGGAAACCCAGUGCAAUUCGUUGCACUAUCGUUUGAUGAAUACAUAGUCAAACGAAGCGAACCGAGGGAACUGAAACAUCUCAGUACCUCGAGGAAAAGAAAUCAACCGAGAUUCCCCUAGUAGCGGCGAGCGAACGGGGAGCAGCCCAGAGUCUUAAUCAGCAUUAGCAUCAGGAGAACGGUCUGGAAAGGCCGGCAGUAAAGGGUGAUAGCCCCGUAUCCGAAGGUGUUAGUGUUGUGAACUCGACGAGUAGGGCGGGACACGUGUUAUCCUGUCUGAAUAUGGGGGGACCAUCCUCCAAGGCUAAAUACUCCUGAUUGACCGAUAGUGAACCAGUACCGUGAGGGAAAGGCGAAAAGAACCCCGGCGAGGGGAGUGAAAUAGAACCUGAAACCGUGUACGUACAAGCAGUGGGAGCACCCUUGUGGUGUGACUGCGUACCUUUUGUAUAAUGGGUCAGCGACUUAUAUUCUGUAGCAAGGUUAACCGUAUAGGGGAGCCGUAGGGAAACCGAGUCUUAACUGGGCGAAUGAGUUGCAGGGUAUAGACCCGAAACCCGGUGAUCUAGCCAUGGGCAGGUUGAAGGUUGGGUAACACUAACUGGAGGACCGAACCGACUAAUGUUGAAAAAUUAGCGGAUGACUUGUGGCUGGGGGUGAAAGGCCAAUCAAACCGGGAGAUAGCUGGUUCUCCCCGAAAGCUAUUUAGGUAGCGCCUCGUGAA
rnacentral:rRNA from 1 species